ACGGAGAUAAUUAGAAUACGCAACGCGCGCAAAUAAUGAAGCCACGGUUCGAUGAGAGCAAAUAAAAGUCGUUGGUACUGGCGGCUACGUGCCGUGCCAAGGACGACCACCAAGUAUGAGUAGCUGGGAGGCUGGAACGGGAGGAAGCGGACCCGGGGGAAGGUGAGGUGAGAGAGUCGGAGGGAGCCCCGCUCCGGCCAGCCUCCGUCGGCACCCACGGCCGGCAGCGGCAGCGGCAGCGGCACGCCAUGGACGCGGAGGCCGGAGAGGCGCCCCUCCUCUCCCACCAGCACAGCCCCAACCAGGUCCCGUCGGCAAAUCACAACGGCAAACCCUUCAACUGGAAGGCUCCUGCUAUUAUCUUGGCGUUUGAGUUCUUGGAGAGCAUUGCCUACGCUGGUAUUGCCCUCAACUUGGUAGUAUAUCUUGGGAAGGUCCUUCAUGGAACUACGGCUUCAAAUGCCGCGAAUGUCGAUACAUGGAACGGCACCACGUUCCUCACGCCCGUUCUCGGAGCAUUUCUUGCUGAUACAUACUGGGGGAAGUACAAGACCGUCGCAAUCUCCAUAAUAUUCUAUCUUACUGGGCUGCUCAUCAUAACUGCUUCGGCGAUCAUUCCAUCUUUACAACCCGCCGCAUGUGAAGGAACUUCAUGCCCUCCUGCCACAGGGUUUCAGAAUUUUGUCUUCUUUACUGCACUAUACCUUGUCUCGGUUGGGACUGGAGGGGUUAAAUCAGCUUUGCUCCCACUUGGAGCUGAUCAGUAUGAUGAUUCAAACCUUGAGCAGAGUAAAAAGAAGCAGGCUUUCUUUAGCUGGUUCUUCAUUGCCAUUAACCUUGGCGUCUUCAUCUCGGGGACAGUUGUUGUAUGGAUACAGCAAAAUGUUGCUUGGUCUCUUGGAUUCGGCAUCUCAUCGAUAUGCCUCAUUAUCGCCACAGUUGCCUUCUUGGCAGGAACACCAAUCUACAGGGUUCAACUUCCUACUGGAAGCCCACUGAAAAGUCUUGUAGCGGUGUUUGUCGCAUCAUUUAAAAAGAGGAAAGUGGAGGUUCCUGCUGAUAGCUCAAUAUUGUUUGAUGGGAAUGAAACCGACUUAACCAAUGAGGCACCAAACAAAUUGGCACAUACCGAAGGAUUCAGGUGCUUAGAUAAGGCUGCCGUAGUCUUAGGGGACCAAGAGAUAAAGGAGAGCCUUUCUGGGCGUCCAUGGAUGCUAUGCACAGUAACUCAGGUGGAGGAAGUGAAGAUCCUUGUUCGGAUGCUUCCAAUAUGGUUCACCAGCGUGUUCUACGCAGCUUCCAUGUGCCAAACGGCCACCACCUUCAUCCAACAGGGGAACAAAAUGAACACAAAGAUUGGAUCCUUCUCCGUCCCUCCUGCUUCCAUGAACUCUGCCUCGGUGGUCUUCAUGAUGAUCUUUGUCGUGAUCCAGGACAGCAUUGUGAUCCCAAUGGCCAGACGAUACACCGGAAACGUCGCCGGGCUCACGCAGCUGCAGCGCAUGGGCGUUGGCCGGUUCCUGGCGGUCCCGGCGCUGGCCGCGGCCGCGCUGGUUGAGAUGUGGAGGCUGCGCAGCAUCAGGGCCGGCCACAACCUGAGCAUAGCAUGGCAGCUCCCCCAGUUCAUGCUCAUCGCCUGCUCCGACGUGUUCUGCGGCAUAGCUCAGCUCGAGUUCUUCUACUCGGAGGCCCCCAUGUCGAUGCGGAGCCUGUGCUCGGCGUUCUCGUUCCUUGCGAUGUCGCUUGGAUAUUACCUGAACUCGAUGAUCAUCUCGGCCAUCGCUGCUCUGACGAAGGGCGGGGGCGGGCGGGGCUGGCUUCCCGCCGACCUGAACGACGGGCAUCUCGACUACUACUUCUGGCUGUGGGCGGGGAUCGGCGCGGUGAACUUUGUUGUGUACACGGCAUUCGCCAAGAAUUACACGAUGGCGUCCUCUGCUGGUAAUGGCAAGGAGAUGGCCGCGCUCGAGUCCGGCCAUGGGUCGUCGUCCUCCUCCUCCUCGUCGCCGGCCGCUGCUGCCAAGAUGACGGCGGUGGCGGGGAAACCGCGCCCCUUCACCUAGACAGGGCCUGCCAUUGUUAUGGGCUUCGAGUUGCUGGAGAGCAUCGCCUUCUCCGGCGUUGCGCUGAACCUGGUCAUCUACCUGGGCACCGUGCUCCAUGGCACCACCGCCUUCAACGCCGCCCACGUCGACACCUGGAACGGCACCACCUUCAUCGUCCCCGUCCUCGGCGCCUUCCUCGCCGACAGCUGCUGGGGCAAGUACAACACCAUCGUCGUCUCGCUCCUCUUCUACCUCGCCGGCCUCGUGCUGCUCACCCUGUCCGCGGCGAUCUCGCCCUUCCGGCCGUCGUCGUGCCAGGGGCUCUCGUGCCCGCCGGCCUCACGGACCCAGUUCUCCGUCUUCUUCGCGGCGCUGUACUUGACCUCCAUCGGCACGGGGGGCGUCAAGUCGGCGCUGCUCCCGUUCGGGGCGGAGCAGUACGACGACAGCAGCCCGGAGGAGAGCCGGAGGAAGCAGUCCUUCUUCACCUGGUUCUUCGGCGCCAUCAACCUCGGCAUCUUCGUCGCCGGGACGCUCGUGUCCUGGCUGCAGCAGAACGUGUCCUGGGCGCUCGGCUUCGGCGUCUCCGCGCUCUGCCUGCUCCUGGCGGCCGCGGGCUUCCUGGCCGGCACGCCCUGGUACAGGGUGCAGCUCCCCGCCGGCAGCCCGCUCAGGGACAUCCUCAGGGUGGUGGUGGCGUCCGUCAAGAAGAGGAAGACCAGGCUGCCUGCAGCCGCGGGUCAAGGUGACCUUGGCCUGCACGAGGUGGCGGAAGACGACGACCUGCAGAAGCUGGCGCACACCAAGGGGCUCAGGUGCCUGGACAAGGCCGCGGCGAAGGGCGGCGACGGCCGCGAAGGCCCGUGGAAUCUGUGCACGGUGAGCGAGGUGGAGGCCGUCAAGAUCCUGGCGCGCAUGGUGCCCAUCUGGGUGACGUGCGUGCUCUACGCGGCGUCCCUGGGGCAGAUGACCACCACCUUCAUCCAGCAGGGGAUGACCAUGGACAACAAGCUGCUCGGGAAGGUGAAGGUGCCGGUGGCGUCGAUGGUGUCGAUCGAGGUGGUGUUCAUGCUGCUGUGGGUGCUUCUGCACGACGCCGUCAUCAUGCCGCUCGCCAGGAGAUGGGGCCGAGCCGGGAGCGCCGGGCUGUCCCAGCUCCAGCGGAUGGGCGUGGGGAGGGUCCUGGUGGUUCUGGCGAUGGCGACGGCGGCGCUGGUGGAGAGCCGGCGGCUGCACGUGGCCGGCGCGGGCAGGAAGAUGGGCAUCGCGUGGCAGGUGCCGCAGUUCGUGCUGGUGGCCGGGUCGGACGUGUUCUGCGGGAUCGCGCAGCUGGAGUUCUUCUACGGGGAGGCGCCGGCGUCGAUGCGCAGCAUCUGCUCCGCCUUCUCCUUCCUCGCGCUGUCGCUGGGGUUCUACGUCAACUCGGUGGUGGUGACCGCGGUGGCGGCGCUGAGGCCCGGGUGGCUGGCGCGCGACCUCAACGAGGGGCACCUGGACUACUACUUCUGGCUGUGGGCCGUCAUCAGCGCCGGCAACCUGCUGCUCUACCUGCUGCUUGCCGCCCGGUACACGCCCAAGCAAGUCCUCCGCCACUCGCCAUAGCCGCCGGCACCGAGUUAGCUAAUGCACUGCUCCGUACUACUGUAUGAUGAAAUGUCUGAAUGAUGAUGUAACUUGGACACAUCACGCCGUAGAAGUCUUGCCGGAUAUAACUCUUGUUUUGUACAUGUUCAGAGAGUGUCGUUAACGUUAACUAAGCUGGGAGAUAUGUAAGGGCAAUUUUAUCUUUUAGCAAAACAAUGGGUGAAUGAUUUUCA